GUGGGAGGAAACCUGAGAACCGGAGUAAACCCACACUAACCUUCAUGUCUUUGGACUGCGGAAGGAAACCUGAGAACCCGGAGUAAACCCACGCUAACCUGCAUGUAGUACAGGUGUGCAUGUAGUAUAGGUGUGCAUGUAGUACAGGUGUGGUACAGGUGUAGUAGAGGUGUGGUACAGGUGUGGUAAGGGGGGAGUACAGGUGUGGUACAGGUGUAGUACAGGUGUCGAGGUGUAGUACAGAUGUGGUAAGGGGGGAGUACAGGUGUGGUACAGGUGUCAUAAGGUGUAGUACAGGUGUAGUAAUGGUAUAGUACAGGUGUAUAAUGGUGUAGUACAGGUGUAGUACAGGUGUAGUAAUGGUGUAGUACAGGUGUAGUAAAGGUGUAUAAUGGUGUAGUACAGGUGUAGUAAUGGUGUAGUACAGGUGUAGUAAAGGUGUAGUAAAGGUGUAGUACAGGUGUAGUAAAGGUGUAGUACAGGUGUAGUAAUGGUGUAGUACAGGUGUAGUGACGGUGUAGUGACGGUGUAGUACAGGUGUUAAAUCACAAGUCUCUAACCCACCUGCAGACUUGGUAUAGAAUGCCACUCUUGAUUAAACCACUCCCCCUAGAUUAUAUAAAUCUGCCCUCCAGGCCUGAACCCUCCCUUUUCCCUCCAAACACUUCCAGGCAGAACAAAGAGAGAGUGAUGUGAGUUUAAUGUGGCUUUUGUACCUUUAUAAUUUAUUUGGUUGAAAUGAGAUAUAUAUUGUUUGAAAGUUAACAGAUUGUUUUGUGUUAUGUUAGAUACCUGAGUUUAAUAUGUGAAGGAGAAAAGGCAAAUUCCAGAUUGUGGAUGCAUAAAGAUAAAAAAUCAUCCACCAACUGCCAUCCAACUUCACACCUUGACUUUAAUAAAUUGUUGGAACGGC